rnacentral:rRNA from 1 species
UACGUAGGGUCCAAGCGUUAUCCGGAAUCACUGGGCGUAAAGGGUGCGUAGGCGGGUCUUUAAGUCAGGGGUGAAAUCCUGGAGCUCAACUCCAGAACUGCCUUUGAUACUGAGAGUCUUGAGUACGGGAGAGGUGAGUGGAACUGCGAGUGUAGAGGUGAAAUUCGUAGAUAUUCGCAAGAACACCAGUGGCGAAGGCGGCUCACUGGCCCGGUACUGACGCUGAGGCACGAAAGCGUGGGGAGCAAACAGG